rnacentral:lncRNA from 1 species
UGAAGAGAAAGAGGAGGCAAGGAGGCGCAGCAGUACCGGUUGCAGUACUGUUGCGUGUUUUUUUUUCUUUUUUUGUAUUGUUUAAAAUUAAACAAAAAAUAACAAAUAAUAAAAUAAAAUAAAAGGGAGGGGAGCGUGCUGUUGCUGUUCUUCUUUUUCCUUUUGAUUUUUGUUUUUUUUCAUUAUUAUAAUAAUACCAAUAAUAAUAAAAAGGAAAAAGGAAAUUUUUUAAAAAGAAAGGGGAAGGGAAAGCAGCGUGCUGCUCCUUUUCUUUUAUAUGUUUUUUUAUUUUUAAUAAUAAUAAUAAUAAUAAUAAUAAGUAUAAUAAUUAUAAUGGUAAUAAUAGAACUAAAGAUAUAAAAAUAAAACAAAAAGACUAACACUAAGAAAAAGGACGAAAGGACACUUGAACCAAAACGAAAAUGAGGUAUUUUAAAAUACCUCUUUGCCGAAAUUUCGUUUAAAAAAUAAAGGAAUAUCCCGGACAAAAGAUAUGAAAAAAAAAUGUGAAUGCAACGGGAUCUUAGGUCAAAAAUUGGGGUACGACAGAUGCCCCUAUUUAAGUUUCUUCAUCUGGAGAUAUGAAGAUGAAAUCUUCGUCUCGACAGGAUGAAGAGACUUAAAUAUAGAGUACCCAAUUUUGGACCUAAGAUGCCGAUAAUGCUUAUGUAAUGUUAAUGCAAGACUCUGGAUCCUGUGGGAAAGUGGGAUCAUAAGAGACAAAUUUUAUUA